rnacentral:lncRNA from 1 species
GGCAUAUAUCUCCACAAAAAUGGAACAGAUUUUCAAAUAUUAUAAUAUAAAGCAUGUCACCGGUAUACUACACAAUCAUACAGGACAAGCAGUGGUUGAGAGAUCUAAUAGGACACUUAAGGAGAUGCUCCAUAGACAAGCUGGAGAAGAAAAACUUUGGAUACCAUCAAAGUUGAUCAAGAUUCGAAUUGAAAAAGACAAAGACAAACCUCUGGACAAGGACCAGUGACAGGUAUUUACUGAGGUAUAUCUCAUAAACUAAAUAGAAAACUCCCAAAGGAAAGGUAAGUGUUUUACUUCUAUCUUCACAGAAAAACUCAUUUCCAGAAAUCCAAGAACACUACAUUGGUAGAUGCUUAAGAAGAGAAGGUAGCUAUCACCAUCAAACAAAAGGAAUGUGCCAUACGGUAAUCUUUACAGCUGUCUCCCAAAUAACUCUAUUUCUCUUUAUUUCCUAGUUCCUAAUCAAGUAAAUCAAUGCUGGAUUUAUAGUUGGAUUUGGCUUUCCUCCCCUAAAAUCCAAGCACAUUUUUAACUACACCUUAGAGUUUCUGUAUUGUAUCAAGAAGCCAAUUGAUGUAAUUCAGAAUGAGAGAAGAAUUUGAGGACUGUCUUUGUCUUUCUUGGUUCUUUCCUUCAAGGUGUACACCAUUUUACAAUCAUUAUUUUUCCACUAUUGCCUUUUUCAGCAUGCAUACAUAUACAAGCAAACAUUUCUCUGCUAACACUUAUGUUUGAGUCUCACACAGCCAAUAAAGACCUGCCUGACAGCAAUCCCUGGAUGCUCUGGAAAAUAAAUUGGGCCAUACCUCCUCGACUGCACUGGAUCCAGCUUACUCUGUUUCAACUGACACUCCGACCAGAGCUUCAAGCACUGACUUCAAUCAAGUUGAGGAUUUCAACCUAGAUCUUCAAUCAAGCAAAUCCCAUCUAACAAGGACUGGUUAUAAUCCAUUAGAGACUUUCACUCUACUAACAUUUUCUUCCCACAGGACCCAUUGUCCCAUUUCAGCAGGAAGUAACUUGGAGAAUACUAUGCCCAUAUUCCCCAUUAUUGUCUAUUAGGGUAGUAUAAGCC